UACACACCGCCCGUCACACCAUGGGAGUUGGUUCUACCUGAAGACGGUGCGCUAACCGCAAGGAGGCAGCCGGCCACGGUAGGGUCAGCGACUGGGGUG
rnacentral:rRNA from 1 species